UACGUAGGUGGUAAGCGUUGUCCGGAAUUAUUGGGCGUAAAGGGCUCGCAGGCGGUCUUCUAAGUCUGAUGUGAAAUCUUGCGGCUUAACCGCAAGCGGUCAUUGGAAACUGGAGGACUUGAGUACAGAAGAGGAGAGUAGAACUCCACGUGUAGCGGUGAAAUGCGUAGAGAUGUGGAGGAACACCAGUGGCGAAGGCGACUCUCUGGUCUGUAACUGACGCUGAGGAGCGAAAGCGUGGGGAGCGAACAGG
rnacentral:rRNA from 1 species